GGGGGGGGGGGGGGGGGGUGUUUGGGGGUUCAAACCCCCCCUUUGGUAUUUUUAAUGUAUGUAAACCCCCCCUAAAAAAACCUAAAACCCCCCCCCCCCCCCUUUUUUUUUUUUUUUUUUUUUUUUUUUUUUUUUUUUAUUUAAAAAAAAAAAAAAAAAAAAAAAAAAAAAAAAAAAAU